AAUCAACGCUGGCGGCGUGCCUCAGACAUGCAAGUCGAACGCGAAAGUUCCCUUCGGGGGCGAGUAGAGUGGCGCACGGGUGAGUAACACGUAGGUAAUCUACCUUUGGGUGGGGAAGUAACAGCCGGAAACGGCUGCUAAUACCGCAUAAUGCAGCGGCUCGACAUCGAGACAGUUGUUAAAGCGGGGGAGUCGCAAGACCUCGCGCCUAAAGAGGAGCCUGCGGCGGAUUAGCUUGUUGGUGAGGUAAUGGCUCACCAAGGCAUCGAUCCGUAGCCGGCCUGAGAGGGCGGUCGGCCACACUGACACUGACAUACGGGUCAGACUCCUACGGGAGGCAGCAGUCGGGAAUUUUUGGGCAAUGGGCGCAAGCCUGACCCAGCAACGCCGCGUGAAGGAUGAAAUCCCUC
rnacentral:rRNA from 1 species